rnacentral:miRNA from 1 species
CUUAAGCAAGUCCCUUCCCCUCU